GGGUCGAUGGCGUAGUUGGUUAUCGCGUCUGUCUCACAUGAAUGUGCACAGGAGGUCCUCAGUUCGAGCCUGGGUCGACUCA